GGGCGAGUGGCGGAACUGGCAGACGCGCAGGACUUAGGAUCCUGUCCCGAAAGGGGUGGAGGUUCGACCCCUCUCUCGCCCA
rnacentral:tRNA from 1 species